rnacentral:rRNA from 1 species
AUACGGAGGCUGCGAGCGUUAUCCGGAUUUAUUGGGUUUAAAGGGAGCGUAGGUGGGAUAUUAAGUCAGCUGUGAAAGUUUGGGGCUCAACCUUAAAAUUGCAGUUGAUACUGGUUUCCUUGAGUACGGUACAGGUGGGCGGAAUUCGUGGUGUAGCGGUGAAAUGCUUAGAUAUCACGAAGAACUCCGAUCGCGAAGGCAGCUCACCGGGCCGGAACUGACACUGAUGCUCGAAAGUGCGGGUAUCAAACAGGAUUAGAUACCCUGGUAGUCCGCACAGUAAACGAUGAAUACUCGCUGUUUGCGAUACACGGUAAGCGGCCAAGCGAAAGCGUUAAGUAUUCCACCUGGGGAGUACGCCGGCAACGGUGAAACUCAAAUGAAUUGACGGGG